UUGAACGCUGGCGGCAGGCCUAACGCAUGCAAGUCGAACGGUAACAGGAAGCAGCUUGCUGCUUCGCUGACGAGUGGCGGACGGGUGAGUAAUGUCUGGGAAACUGCCUGAUGGAGGGGGAUAACUACUGGAAACGGUAGCUAAUACCGCAUAAUGUCGCAAGACCAAAGAGGGGGACCUUCGGGCCUCUUGCCAUCGGAUGUGCCCAGAUGGGAUUAGCUUGUUGGUGGGGUAACGGCUCACCAAGGCGACGAUCCCUAGCUGGUCUGAGAGGAUGACCAGCCACACUGGAACUGAGACACGGUCCAGACUCCUACGGGAGGCAGCAGUGGGGAAUAUUGCACAAUGGGCGCAAGCCUGAUGCAGCCAUGCCGCGUGUAUGAAGAAGGCCUUCGGGUUGUAAAGUACUUUCAGCGGGGAGGAAGGGAGUAAAGUUAAUAUCUUUGCUCAUUGACGUUACCCGCAGAAGAAGCACCGGCUAACUCCGUGCCAGCAGCCGCGGUAAUACGGAGGGUGCAAGCGUUAAUCGGAAUUACUGGGCGUAAAGCGCACGCAGGCGGUUUGUUAAGUCAGAUGUGAAAUCCCCGGGCUCAACCUGGGAACUGCAUCUGAUACUGGCAAGCUUGAGUCUCGUAGAGGGGGGUAGAAUUCCAGGUGUAGCGGUGAAAUGCGUAGAGAUCUGGAGGAAUACCGGUGGCGAAGGCGGCCCCCUGGACGAAGACUGACGCUCAGGUGCGAAAGCGUGGGGAGCAAACAGGAUUAGAUACCCUGGUAGUCCACGCCGUAAACUAUGUCGACUUGGAGGUUGUGCCCUUGAGGCGUGGCUUCCGGAGCUAACGCGUUAAGUCGACCGCCUGGGGAGUACGGCCGCAAGGUUAAAACUCAAAUGAAUUGACGGGGGCCCGCACAAGCGGUGGAGCAUGUGGUUUAAUUCGAUGCAACGCGAAGAACCUUACCUGGUCUUGACAUCCACGGAAGUUUUCAGAGAUGAGAAUGUGCCUUCGGGAACCGUGAGACAGGUGCUGCAUGGCUGUCGUCAGCUCGUGUUGUGAAAUGUUGGGUUAAGUCCCGCAACGAGCGCAACCCUUAUCCUUUGUUGCCAGCGGUCCGGCCGGGAACUCAAAGGAGACUGCCAGUGAUAAACUGGAGGAAGGUGGGGAUGACGUCAAGUCAUCAUGGCCCUUACGACCAGGGCUACACACGUGCUACAAUGGCGCAUACAAAGAGAAGCGACCUCGCGAGAGCAAGCGGACCUCAUAAAGUGCGUCGUAGUCCGGAUUGGAGUCUGCAACUCGACUCCAUGAAGUCGGAAUCGCUAGUAAUCGUGGAUCAGAAUGCCACGGUGAAUACGUUCCCGGGCCUUGUACACACCGCCCGUCACACCAUGGGAGUGGGUUGCAAAAGAAGUAGGUAGCUUAACCUUCGGGAGGGCGCUUACCACUUUGUGAUUCAUGACUGGGGUG
rnacentral:rRNA from 1 species